UCUAGGCAGCCCAAUUUUGUUAGCCCUGA
rnacentral:piRNA from 1 species